AGGGAGAAAAACUUAGUUCAUCCUUUUCUUCAAAUUGAAAGGUGAAUUGGGGCCAAAUCACAUGCAUGAACAUAAAUUCGUGAUCAUCUAAACUUGGAGAUCAUAAGCUUGACACUUGACAAGCUAGGUGGGAGCUUGGAAAGUAAUGGGUCAAAUGGAUCAAAGAUGCGAGAAGGCUUAAACGGACCCAAAGUUUAUACAAGGGCUGUUACCGGACGGAUGAUCAAACACGUGAAGAACCGAACACUCUUAAACCACCACCUCCUUGGGAAUAUCUUCUCAAAAAGAUAAAAUAUGAUCACGCGAGACAAAUUUAUAUGUAUAAAACCUUAUUGUCUUUGACUAUAAUUUAAUUGUGUAAUAACCCUUUUAGUCGGUUGGUAUGGGUUAUCAGUUAACCCUGGUG